rnacentral:rRNA from 1 species
CAUGCAGGUCGAGGGGCAGCAUUUUAGUUUGCUUGCAAACUAAAGAUGGCGACCGGCGCACGGGCUGAGCUAACACGCUAUCCAACCUGCCGAUAACUCGGGGAUAGCCUUUCGAAAGAAAGAUUAAUAUCCGAUAGUAUAUUAAAACCGCAUGGUUUUACUAUUAAAGAAUUUCGGUUAUCGAUGGGGAUGCGUUCCAUUAGUUUGUUGGCGGGGUAACGGCCCACCAAGACUACGAUGGAUAGGGGUUCUGAGAGGAAGGUCCCCCACAUUGGAACUGAGACACGGUCCAAACUCNUACGGGAGGCAGCAGUGAGGAAUAUUGGUCAAUGGACGAGAGUCUGAACCAGCCAAGUAGCGGGAAGGAUGACUGCCCUAUGGGGUGGAAACUUCUUUUAAAUGGGAAUAAAAUAUUCCNACGGGUGGGAUUUUGUAUGUACCAUAUGAAUAAGGAUCGGCUAACUCCGUGCCAGCAGCCGCGGUAAUACGGAGGAUCCGAGCGUUAUCCGGAUUUAUUGGGUUUAAAGGGAGCGUAGGUGGAUUGUUAAGUCAGUUGUGAAAGUUUGCGGCUCAACCGUAAAAUUGCAGUUGAAACUGGCAGUCUUGAGUACAGUAGAGGUGGGCGGAAUUCGUGGUGUAGCGGUGAAAUGCUUAGAUAUCACGAAGAACUCCGAUUGCGAAGGCAGCUCACUAGACUGCAACUGACACUGAUGCUCGAAAGUGUGGGUAUCAAACAGGAUUAGAUACCCUGGUAGUCCACACAGUAAACGAUGAAUACUCGCUGUUUGCGAUAUACAGUAAGCGGCCAAGCGAAAGCAUUAAGUAUUCCACCUGGGGAGUACGCCGGCAACGGUGAAACUCAAAGGAAUUGACGGGGGCCCGCACAAGCGGAGGAACAUGUGGUUUAAUUCGAUGAUACGCGAGGAACCUUACCCGGGCUUAAAUUGCAUUUGAAUAAUCUGGAAACAGGUUAGCCGCAAGGCAAAUGUGAAGGUGCUGCAUGGUUGUCGUCAGCUCGUGCCGUGAGGUGUCGGCUUAAGUGCCAUAACGAGCGCAACCCUUAUCUUUAGUUACUAACAGGUCAUGCUGAGGACUCUAGAGAGACUGCCGUCGUAAGAUGUGAGGAAGGUGGGGAUGACGUCAAAUCAGCACGGCCCUUACGUCCGGGGCUACACACGUGUUACAAUGGGGGGUACAGAAGGCAGCUACCUGGCGACAGGAUGCUAAUCCCAAAAACCUCUCUCAGUUCGGAUCGAAGUCUGCAACCCGACUUCGUGAAGCUGGAUUCGCUAGUAAUCGCGCAUCAGCCAUGGCGCGGUGAAUACGUUCCCGGGCCUUGUACACACCGCCCGUCAAGCCAUGAAAGCCGGGGGUACCUGAAGUACGAACCGCAAGGAG